rnacentral:rRNA from 1 species
CAGUAGCCACGGGAACACGGAGGGUGCAAGCGUUAUCAGGAUUUAUUGGGUUUAAAGGGUCCGUAGGCGGAUCUGUAAGUCAGUGGUGAAAUCUCACAGCUUAACUGUGAAACUGCCAUUGAUACUGCAGGUCUUGAGUAAAUUUGAAGUGGCUGGAAUAAGUAGUGUAGCGGUGAAAUGCAUAGAUAUUACUUAGAACACCAAUUGCGAAGGCAGGUCACUAAGAUUUAACUGACGCUGAUGGACGAAAGCGUGGGGAGCGAACAGGAUUAGAUACCCCAGUAGUCCCUGUCUCUUAUAC